GUCGAACGAGACCUUCGGGUCUAGUGGCGCACGGGUGCGUAACGCGUAGGCAAUCUACCCGAUACAGGGGAAUAACACGGGGAAACUCGUGCUAAUACCGCGUAAUAAAUGAGAAGGCAUCUUCUUAUUUUAAAAGCUUCGGCGGUAUCGGAAGAGCCUGCGUCCUAUUAGCUAGUUGGUAAGGUAACAGCUUACCAAGGCGACGAUAGGUAGGGGAACUGAGAGGUUGAUCCCCCACACUGGUACUGAGAUACGGACCAGACUCCUACGGGAGGCAGCAGUGAGGAAUAUUGGUCAAUGGACGGAAGUCUGAACCAACCAUGUCGCGUGUCGGAAGACCGCCCUCUGGGUUGUAAACGGCUUUUCUUUGGGAAGAA
rnacentral:rRNA from 1 species